UUGACCUUCGCUGAGAAGCCAUGUGAAAAGAACGCAGGGUUCCUGCAAAGCAUUAUUAGACUGCUGACUGCACUGGGGAAAUGUUUACUAAGGAAGCACCUUUAAGCUAGAUGACAAUGUAUCCUGUUGUGGAGUGAGAAACGCUGAGUUUGAGAGGAUUGAUCAUCACAUGUACUGUCUGUAGGUUCAGUCGGUUCCUCCUCCUUUUCAUAAUAAACCUCGAUCUCAGAUAUCUUGAACUCUUCCAAUGUCUGUGUUAAGCUGCUCAUGUGCUACAAAAACCAGUAUUUUUCUGGACUCCAUUCUCCCCAGUUCUGCUGGAUACAAUACAGUCGCAUCCUUAUUCUGAAUACAUAAUUCUUCUUCAUAUCCAGAGCAGGCAGCACAAGGGCGAAGCUCUACAUGCAGUACCUGCCAGAAUGAGCCACAGCUGUUCCUGUACUGCAAAUGGGUUCUAUAGCACAGGUCACUCUUGGUAUUGUCUGGAUUCCUCCAUGCCACUUUUAUAGAAUUUGAUGUGUUGCUAAUGUUUAUAUUAUAUGGGUCUGUAUUAAUAGGAAAAAACAGUCAUAUACCACUCAUAUUCCAUUAUGCUAUAAAAAGCGGAUUUUUCUUUGCAGACUGGAUUUCUACCUGGAGGUUAAAACUAUGGCUUUUGAUGUGGCUUUCCCCUUUGCAACCUAGUAAUGAUGCAUGUGAACUUGAGUAGGUGGUUUUCUACCUUAAUGUAUAUGAUAAAGUAUGCCCUAGUGUCCAUGAGCUGUUUGUGGGCUCAGUCAUUGCUAAUUAUUAUUGCUAAUUAUUAAUAGGGUAAAUGUUUAACUGACAUUCAUUAUAUGUGGAGGAUUGGUCCAAGUAAGGCUGGUUGCUUUUGAGUCUUGAUCCUCUCAAGUUUUUAUUUACCUUAAUAUUUACUGAGAUUAUUGUCACUUUAAGAGUGAGUUUGGAGUUGUGGACCUGUAUCAAAGCUUUUUUAAGAAUGUUCUGCUGUAAAUAGGCUUGACAAAUACAUUUGACUAGAUUUAUUACAUUUAUUUUUAUAUAACUUUUAUUAUUUUAAUAAAUUCCAAUAGUCCUACUUCAUGUUAUGUAGAUUUUAUUUAUCUUCUUAAUUCCAGAUUUCGAGCAAAGAAACUGUUAACUGAAAAAAGAAAAAGGGGUAAAACAUAAAAUCACUUACCCACAGUAGAACAUUUGACCCUGGAUUGAGAGCAGAGCAUUAUGGACAGGAUUAAGUGUAAACAGCACAUCCAGUGUUUCAUUAUUGGUCUUUCACACAGUCAGUGUGUGCUCUCUCUUACCCUCAUGUAGGAGAGUGUGCUGUGACUACACACAGCACUGUACCUCCUUAAUCUCACUUCCUUCCGCUCUUUAUCUGCUGUCAUCUUUUCACACCGCAAGUUUAAAAGCAGCUUUUUCCAUACAGGAUUUCUUUUAGAAUGAUCUGCUGCUAACCACGACACACAGCUUUCUUUUCUUUUUAACAGCAUCUAAGAAGUAAGCUGUUGUGAUUGUAAUGAAUCCUAAAAAAUGUUUGAAAAAUUUGUAAAUCUGUAAUAAAAAAACACAAUGAUGUU